rnacentral:rRNA from 1 species
AUGAACGCUAGCGGCAGGCCUAACACAUGCAAGUCGAGGGGCAUCACGAGGUAGCAAUACUUUGGUGGCGACCGGCGCACGGGUGCGUAACGCGUAUGUAACCUACCUAUAACAGGGGCAUAACACUGAGAAAUUGGUACUAAUUCCCCAUAAUAUUCGGAGAGGCAUCUCUCCGGGUUGAAAACUCCGGUGGUUAUAGAUGGACAUGCGUUGUAUUAGCUAGUUGGUGAGGUAACGGCUCACCAAGGCAACGAUACAUAGGGGGACUGAGAGGUUAACCCCCCACACUGGUACUGAGACACGGACCAGACUCCUACGGGAGGCAGCAGUGAGGAAUAUUGGUCAAUGGACGCAAGUCUGAACCAGCCAUGCCGCGUGCAGGAAGACGGCUCUAUGAGUUGUAAACUGCUUUUGUACGAGGGUAAACUCACCUACGUGUAGGUGACUGAAAGUAUCGUACGAAUAAGGAUCGGCUAACUCCGUGCCAGCAGCCGCGGUAAUACGGAGGAUUCAAGCGUUAUCCGGAUUUAUUGGGUUUAAAGGGUGCGUAGGCGGUUUGAUAAGUUAGAGGUGAAAUCCCGGGGCUUAACUCCGGAACUGCCUCUAAUACUGUUAGACUAGAGAGUAGUUGCGGUAGGCGGAAUGUAUGGUGUAGCGGUGAAAUGCUUGGAGAUCAUACAGAACACCGAUUGCGAAGGCAGCUUACCAAACUAUAUCUGACGUUGAGGCACGAAAGCGUGGGGAGCAAACAGGAUUAGAUACCCUGGUAGUCCACGCAGUAAACGAUGAUAACUCGUUGUCGGCGAUACACAGUCGGUGACUAAGCGAAAGCGAUAAGUUAUCCACCUGGGGAGUACGUUCGCAAGAAUGAAACUCAAAGGAAUUGACGGGGGCCCGCACAAGCAGUGGAGUAUGUGGUUUAAUUCGAAGCAACGCGAAGAACCUUACCAGGCCUUGACAUCCCGGGCAAGGGCGUAGAGAUACGCCGGAGGCUAUCCCGGUGACAGGUGGUGCAUGGUUGUCGUCAGCUCGUGUCGUGAGAUGUUGGGUUAAGUCCCGCAACGAGCGCAACCCCUGUCCUUAGUUGCCAGCAUGUAGAGAUGGGAACUCUAAGGAGACUGCCGUAGAUAAUACGGAGGAAGGUGGGGAUGACGUCAAAUCAGCACGGCCCUUACGUCCGGGGCUACACACGUGUUACAAUGGUAGGUACAGAGGGUCGCUACUCCGUGAGGAGAUGCCAAUCUCGAAAGCCUAUCUCAGUUCGGAUUGGAGGCUGAAACCCGCCUCCAUGAAGUUGGAUUCGCUAGUAAUCGCGCAUCAGCCAUGGCGCGGUGAAUACGUUCCCGGGCCUUGUACACACCGCCCGUCACACCAUGAGAGUUGGGGAUACCCGAAGCCUGUGAGCCAACAGUUAAAUGAGGCAGCAGUCGAAGGUAGAAUCAAUGAUUGGGGUG